GACGAACGCUGGCGGCGUGCCUAAUACAUGCAAGUAGAACGCAGUUGCGAACGGGUGAGUAACGCGUAGGUAACUGCCUCAUAGCGGGGGAUAACUAUUGGAAACGCUAGCUAAUACCGCAUCCUUUGAGAUUGACCUGCGUUGUAUUAGCUAGUUGGUGAGGUAAAGGCUCACCAAGGCGACGAUACAUAGCCGACCUGAGAGGUUGAUCAGUCACACUGGGACUGAGACACGGUCCAGACUCCUACGGGAGGCAGCAGUAGGGAAUCUUCGGCAAUGGACGGAAGCCUGAUGCAGCCAUGCCGCGUGUGUGAAGAAGGCCUUCGGGUUGUAAAGCACUUUCAGCGGGGAGCGUUACCCGCAGAAGAAGCACCGGCUAACUCCGUGCCAGCAGCCGCGGUAAUAC
rnacentral:rRNA from 1 species